ACAAAAAGUAAAUGAGAAAGACCAUCAGCCAAUGAGGCUGUGAGAUAAGCGGAAAUGACAUUGUGAAGUAAGCGGAAGUGAUACUGUUGGGUAAGCGGAAAUGGCAUAGGUAAGCGGAAGUGAUGCUAUUAGGUAAGCGGAAAUGACGCUGCGAGGUAAGUGGAAACGACGCUGCGAGGUAAGCAGAAUGACACUAAAGCUCCCCAGCACGGCUUAGAGAGCUCCAUGCUUCACCCUUUAGAGUCUGUGCGGCAGGCAACACUGAAACUCAGCACCUCUUGUUGCGAUGCAUAGACUGCACUGCUCAUUUGUAGCCGUUAAGAAGGGGAAACUGGGGCUGGAGAGAUGGCUCAGUGGUUAAGAGCUGAUUGCUCUUCCAGAGGUCCUGAGUUCAGAUUCCAGCAACAAUCUGUAAUGCCCUCUUCUGGUGUGUGUGAGGACAGCUACAGUGUACUUAUAUAGAAAUAAAUAAAUCUUAAAUAACAUCUGGUCCAGGUAUAGUGAAAACGGGAGAACCAGCGCCGCGGAGUUUGUCACCUGAAGCCCCGUGAAAAAUUAUAAAGAAAGAAUAUCCACCCCAGGAAAAACAAAAGCACCUCAGACUCUGGAAAAAAAGAUAACAAAAGGUCCCUUGCUAUCCUGGGCCACAGGUGUGAGCUGACCUCCACAGAGAGAUAACUUUGCAAAGAUGCCAACUAUGGUGACUACCCAGAAAAAAAGCAGUGCAGGAAGAAUAAAGGUCAGAGCAGUGUAGCCGCCUGCUGCUGCCCGGGCUGUGACAGCCUGGGAAUCCGCCCUGAAAUGCCGUGCUGAGAGAAAAGCCACAUCUGCCCCAAGGGGCCUGCGAAGGAUCCAGCAUUUGCCUGCUCCCACCUCUCUGCAUCUGCUGAAUGCCAGCCUGCACCACACUGACUCUCCUCGAACAGUCCCGACAGAGUGCCCUCAUUUCCCAGUAAGGACACCACGCCUUCAGCAUUUAAUGAGGGAACAUGACUGCGGUACCUUGGGUGGGUUGCCCUUUCCUAACAAGUAGUACAAGGGCAGAUGUGGAGACAAACUAAAAAUAUCUGAUGCUGAAACAUGGGGGAUCCUAGCUCUGGGCAUAUUAAUAUAAGUGGAUAUUCACGCUCACUUCAGAGUUGCUGACAGACAGAGCCCAGUCACUGCUCUGUAUUUGGAAUAAAAGAGUGUAAAGUCUGGUGUCCUGUGCAGACCCA